GCGAUUUUGCAUUUUUGUUGUUGAUGGGUACUAGUAUUUUUUAUUGCUUUUAUCUUAUUGAACAUUGAUGGAUAAUAACGUCCCCUAGGAUUUGAAUUUGGAAAUUUUUUUUCUAAUUCUUUUUGCAUGCAGAUAAAUUUUCAUGGCAUAUGCAUCAUGUGAUUCUUUAUUUUCCUCCUUGCUAAACCUAUAUGUAAUGGUGCAUCAAAGAAGAAAGUAUGCAUGUUGACUAACUUAUGC
rnacentral:misc_RNA from 1 species